AAAAAGAUAAAUAUAUAUUUCUUAAACCCUGUUGAAGAUUAAUGUUACAGGUUACACUCUGAUAUGUUAUGUUAUUUUCAGGUCACACAAAAGAACCAGGAGCACCGUUGAGAGGGCCAUCAGUCAACUCAAACGCAGAUUUCCUGUUCUCCAUGGGGAAAUCAGGUUAAAACCUGAGAAGGCUUGUAAGGUGAUAAUAGCAUGUGCUGUCCUACACAAUAUUUGCAAGGACAGAAAUAUCCCAGUUCCACCCACUGAUGGGCAUGAUGGACUUGGCAGGCUUGAUGGGAAGAAUGGAGCUCAAGCAGUGACUGCUCCACCAGUAGCUGCACUCAGAUACCGGGAGCACUUUGCCAAUACCAACUUUCCAUAGUUUCCACGGUUGGUGAAGUGAGGGACCCUGUGACAUCUGGCUCCUUGGAAUACAUGUUGGCUCCUUCUGG